ACUGGGUGUGGUGGUGCAUGCCUGUAAUCCCAGUGGCUCGGGAGGCUGAGGCAGGAUGAUUGCAAGUUUGAAGCCACCUCAGCAAUGGUGAGCCACUAAGCAACUCAGUGAGACCCUGUCUCUA
rnacentral:sRNA from 1 species